rnacentral:rRNA from 1 species
UACGAAGGGGGCUAGCGUUGUUCGGAAUCACUGGGCGUAAAGGGCGCGUAGGCGGCUUUGUAAGUCGGGGGUGAAAGCCUGUGGCUCAACCACAGAAUUGCCUUCGAUACUGGAAAGCUCGAGUCCGGGAGAGGUGAGUGGAACUGCGAGUGUAGAGGUGAAAUUCGUAGAUAUUCGCAAGAACACCAGUGGCGAAAGGCGGCUCACUGGCCCGGUACUGACGCUGAGGUGCGAAAGCGUGGGGAGCAAACAGG